rnacentral:rRNA from 1 species
UACGGAGGAUGCAAGCGUUAUCCGGAUUUAUUGGGUUUAAAGGGUGCGUAGGCGGCCUUUUAAGUCAGUGGUGAAAUCUUGCCGCUUAACGGUAAAAUUGCCAUUGAUACUGAAAGGCUUGAGUACAUUUGAGGUAAGCGGAAUGUGUAGUGUAGCGGUGAAAUGCUUAGAUAUUACACAGAACACCAAUUGCGAAGGCAGCUUACUAAACUGUGACUGACGCUGAUGCACGAAAGCGUGGGGAGCGAACAGG